rnacentral:rRNA from 1 species
CUACGGGUGGCUGCAGUGGGGAAUAUUGCACAAUGGGCGCAAGCCUGAUGCAGCCAUGCCGCGUGUAUGAAGAAGGCCUUCGGGUUGUAAAGUACUUUCAGCGGGGAGGAAGGGAGUAAAGUUAAUACCUUUGCUCAUUGACGUUACCCGCAGAAGAAGCACCGGCUAACUCCGUGCCAGCAGCCGCGGUAAUACGGAGGGUGCAAGCGUUAAUCGGAAUUACUGGGCGUAAAGCGCACGCAGGCGGUUUGUUAAGUCAGAUGUGAAAUCCCCGGGCUCAACCUGGGAACUGCAUCUGAUACUGGCAAGCUUGAGUCUCGUAGAGGGGGGUAGAAUUCCAGGUGUAGCGGUGAAAUGCGUAGAGAUCUGGAGGAAUACCGGUGGCGAAGGCGGCCCCCUGGACGAAGACUGACGCUCAGGUGCGAAAGCGUGGGGAGCAAACAGGAUUAGAUACCCCCGUAGUC